AUUUGAAAAUAGAAAAGAAAAAGAAGUCAGUUGGAAAUCAACAAACUUGAAGAAAAAAGAGAAAAAAAUAACAAAGUACUCAAAGAAAAGUCAAAAUCAAAAGCCAAAGAGAACCCAGUUGAAAGAAAUAUCCCCAAAUAUUAUUUUUAAAUAGACAUUGUCAAUGAAACUAAUACUCCUUACUCCAAGUCUUAACCUACUCU
rnacentral:lncRNA from 1 species